UAACCAAAAAGGAAACCCCAGGCCAGUUUCAGUAGAGAGAAACUCAAUGACCAUCACAGCAGAUAAUGAUGCGGAUGUUGUGAUCUGUUCAAAAUAGCCCCUGUUACGCUCUAUGUACAGCUUCCUCUCUAUGGAGGUACGUCCCGUUAUUGGUGGCAGUCUUGUUAACUAUGCAAUACUAUCAUUAAUAGUUCCUUCCAGAUGUCGUCUUCAUCAUAUCUUGCCGCAUCACCAGAAGGAUACUUCACCCGGACGGAUUUAACAUUCUUCAGAAUCGGCGAUGUUGUUGACACACUAACCUGUAUUUAAAAAAACUUAUUUUGUGGACUUGAAAUUAUUUGCCAUAAAGAACCAAUACAAGAAAUGCGCUCAACUACCGUCUUCUGAUUUUGAGAAUCUGCUGAAGAAAAUUGAAUUCCACAUUUCCAAACGAGAUACGUAUUUACACACUUCAUAUUCCGCUCAAA